AAAUUGAAGAGUUUGAUCAUGGCUCAGAUUGAACGCUGGCGGCAGGCCUAACACAUGCAAGUCGAACGGUAACAGGAAACAGCUUGCUGUUUCGCUGACGAGUGGCGGACGGGUGAGUAAUGUCUGGGAAACUGCCUGAUGGAGAGGGAUAACUACUGGAAACGGUAGCUAAUACCGCAUAACGUCGCAAGACCAAAGAGGGGGACCUU
rnacentral:rRNA from 1 species